UUUCCCUAUUGAACAGCAUAUGGACUUAGUCGCAAACAAAUUAAAUAGCUACCUAUGUUAACUGUUUUAAAAACUUGAGAACAAUUUUAUGAAUAUGUUGUAGGAAACAGAAUUGUUGAAAAAAGUUCACAGCUCGUCCAAAUAUUCAACAAACCAAGCAAGCCGGAGAUACUGGAAGUACAAUUUUGUCUAACUAAUUUUAUAUUUAUAUAGUAUUCA